AAUAGGGGACCGGGCCCGGGGCGUCAAGGUCCUCGUGCUUCUCUUCUCCUCUCCCAGGGCGGGAAAGGGGCUCCAGCGUUCCCUUGCCAUGUGACGUGGAGUAGUGGAGGAGGUGACCCGAAGCCUACCUGCAAGAGCUUUUUCGUACCUCUUAAUAUACCUUAGAAUUCUUGAGCUCUGACAGCUGUGGACACACCACAUCAGUCCACCCUGGUCAUAAUAAACCUAGGCAUUCCUUUCGACCUGAUACCAAUUGUUCAGUAGCUGGUUUUCAUUAGGUGGGCUUUGCAGAAGCCAGUCUUUCUAGAAAUGAAGCGUAAUCUGAACACUAAGAGUCCCAGCCCAAUGAGCUACACCAGCUUGUGUUAGGGCAUUUCAAACUGGAACCAGCGAUCCACAGGGCUGGAGAGACCUAGGAUCCUUUUGUUGGUGUUGAAUCAGGUAAGAAAACACACCCAAGUGCAGUCAGGUUUGGACAGUGAACCCUGAAGUACCAGUGACUUGAUAGUAACAUAAACUGCCUGAAGUCUUUGAGGUAAGUAGCAGAUAGUUUAUGAAUAACCUCAGAGUCAUGCCACAGAUUUGGAAAGUGCAGAGUUAGUAUGAUUAAUUUGGUCUAUUUUAAUUGUAUUACAUAUGAUAUAGUCAAUAGUGCUAAAGAAUUUGCCAAUUGUAAUUAAAUUUGCAGUUUAAUUUCUUCAUGAUUACCUUUUAGUCAGUGAAUGAAAUAUAGGUAUCUUGGGAGUUCCCAUCUUGGCACAGUGGAAACGAAUCCGACUAGGAACCAUGAGGUUGUGAGUUUGAUCCCUGGCCUCACUCAGUGGGUUAAGGAUCCAGUGUUGCCGUGAGCUGUGGUGUAGGUCGCGGACACGGCUCGGAUCUGGCAUUGCUAUCUAUGGCUGUGGCUGUGGCUGGCAGCAACAGUUCCAAUUCUAUCCCUAGCUUGGGAACCUCCAUAUGCUGAGGGGGCAGCCCUAAAAAAAAAAAAAAAAAAAAAAAAAAAAAAAAAGAACUACUUUGGAUGCAGUUUAGGUUGGAGCAGAGAAGGAAGAAUGAUGCUGUAUUUGGCACAGUAUUUAUUGACAUAAGUUAUCUGUGUACUAAUAUGUCACAUGUGGCUUAGGUAACUAUAAGCUAUCGAAUAAUAUUUGUUGUAUGCAAUCAGUGUAUGCAAAGAUACUUUUCUUGAUCUUGCAAUGUUUGGAUAGACUAACUGCCCCCAUUCCAACCUUUAAUAUAUAUCUUUUUAAUUUGGAAUUUUUUUACCAAAAUGUGAGGUAUUUUGGGUAAAAUGUGAAAUGUAAAUUACAUCUUGGUAAAUGUAAAAAGAUCUGACACUUGAAAGAGGAUAUGUUGUUCUCUAUACAACAGAACUGUUUAACUUUCUUUGUACAUGAAAAGGUCAGUCAUAGUAUGACCCUUUAUACUUCCAAUGGGCAAAACAUUAUCUUCCCUUCCUUUGACAAAUGCAAGGUACAGUUAAGGAGUGAGGAGGAAAGGAAGAAAAAGUAGGCAGGAGAACAGAAAGCAAAAGAAAAGUGAAAGAAGUGUUUGGAGAAGGGAGGAAAAUGUACUUACCUGAACAAUGAUAUCCUGCACCAUUUUUGACCACAGAAUAAAUAUUUGUAGAUAUUGAUUUCCCAAUGCAAAAUGACAAAGGUCAAAGGCAGGUUAAGCAAAACAUUUAAAUUGCAAGCCAAAUUUAGAUCUAAAAAAGGGACAAUGCAUAUAGAUAGGGAAUAUCACCCCCUUUACUUUAUAUUAAAUAAAAAUUGAACCAGAGCUUUUAGGAGUUUUAAAACCCAUUCCCUAGUGGUAAAGUGUUUUGCACACAUUUGGAAUGCUAGAGCAUAUUCGGUAAUGAAGCUCAAAGAAAUCUCAGUGACAUAUGAGGCAAUAAAAAUUUAUCAGCUACUGGCUAGCUCAGUAAGUAAAGGAUUUUUCUAUUUCAUUCUUUCAAAGUUGUGGCACUUGUAGCAAGAUGAUGCUGGAAAGAGAAUGAUUUGUCAAUAACAUUCUCCAGCAGUGCAAAUCUCCCUGACAAAUAAAUGCUUUAAGUUAUUUACGUCAGAAUUAGGGGAGUUCCCUUCAUGGCUCAGCAGUUAAUGAACCCAACUAGGAUCCAUGAGGAUGUGGGUUCAAUCCCUGGCCUCGCUCAGUGGGUUGGGGAUCCGGCUUGCUGUAGGUCAUAGACUCGGCUCCAAUCCCUCAUUGCUGUGACUGUGGCAUAGACCAGCGGCUAGCCUGGGAACCUCCAUAUGCCAUGGGUGCAGCCCUAAAAAG
rnacentral:lncRNA from 1 species